GCGAGUGUAGCUCAGUUGGUAGAGCGCGACCUUGCCAAGGUCGAGGUCACGAGUUCGAGCCUCGUUACUCGCU
rnacentral:tRNA from 1 species